GCCUCUUGGACUGGGACAACUGUUGGAAACGACAGCUAAUACCGGAUAUUAUGAGAUUCUCGCAUGAGAAACUUAUGAAAGCUAUAUGCGCCAAGAGAGAGCCUUGCGUUCCAUUAGCUAGUUGGUGGGGUAACGGCCCACCAAGGCGACGAUGGAUAGCCGGCCUGAGAGGGUGAACGGCCACAAGGGGACUGAGACACGGCCCUUACUCCUACGGGAGGCAGCAGUGGGGAAUAUUGGACAAUGGACCAAAAGUCUGAUCCAGCAAUUCUGUGUGCACGAUGAAGGUCUUCGGAUUGUAAAGUGCUUUCAGUUGGGAAGAAGAAAGUGACGGUACCAACAGAAGAAGCGACGGCUAAAUACGUGCCAGCAGCCGCGGUAAUACGUAUGUCGCAAGCGUUAUCCGGAUUUAUUGGGCGUAAAGCGCGUCUAGGCGGAAAAAUAAGUCUGAUGUUAAAAUGCGGGGCUCAACUCCGUAUUGCGUUGGAAACUGUUUUUCUAGAGUACUGGAGAGGUGGGCGGAACUACAAGUGUAGAGGUGAAAUUCGUAGAUAUUUGUAGGAAUGCCGAUGGAGAAGUCAGCUCACUGGACAGAUACUGACGCUGAAGCGCGAAAGCGUGGGGAGCAAACAGGAUUAGAUACCCUGGUAGUCCACGCCGUAAACGAUGAUCACU
rnacentral:rRNA from 1 species